rnacentral:rRNA from 1 species
AACCAGCACCUCAAGUGGUCAGGAUGAUUAUUGGGCCUAAAGCAUCCGUAGCCGGCUCUGUAAGUUUUCGGUUAAAUCUGUACGCUUAACGUACAGGCUGCCGGGAAUACUGCAGAGCUAGGUAGUGGGAGAGGUAGACGGUACUCGGUAGGAAGGGGUAAAAUCCUUUGAUCUAUUGAUGACCACCUGUGGCGAAGGCGGUCUACCAGAACACGUACGACGGUGAGGGAUGAAAGCUGGGGGAGCAAACCGGAUUAGAUACCCGGGUAGUCCCAGCUGUAAACUAUGCAAACUCAGUGAUGCAUUGGCUUGUGGCCAAUGCAGUGCUGCAGGGAAGCCGUUAAGUUUGCCGCCUGGGAAGUACGUACGCAAGUAUGAAACUUAAAGGAAUUGGCGGGGGAGCACCACAAGGGGUGAAGCCUGCGGUUCAAUUGGAGUCAACGCCAGAAAUCUUACCCGGAGAGACAGCAGAAUGAAGGUCAGGCUGAAGACUUUACCAGACAAGCUGAGAGGUGGUGCAUGGCCGUCGCCAGCUCGUGCCGUGAGAUGUCCUGUUAAGUCAGGUAACGAGCGAGAUCCCUGCCUCUAGUUGCCACCAUUACUCUCAGGAGUAGUGGGGCGAAUUAGCGGGACCGCCGCAGUUAAUGCGGAGGAAGGAAGGGGCCACGGCAGGUCAGUAUGCCCCGAAACUCUGGGGCCACACGCGGGCUGCAAUGGUAACGACAAUGGGUUUCGAAUUCGAAAGGAUGAGGUAAUCCUCAAACGUUACCACAGUUAUGACUGAGGGCUGCAACUCGCCCUCACGAAUAUGGAAUCCCUAGUAACUGCGUGUCACUAUCGCGCGGUGAAUACGUCCCUGCUCCC